rnacentral:rRNA from 1 species
UACAGAGGUCCCAAGCGUUGUUCGGAUUCACUGGGCGUAAAGGGUGUGUAGGAGGUCUUGUAAGUCGGGCGUGAAAUCUCACCGCUUAACGGUGAAACUGCGUUCGAUACUGCUUGGCUAGAGGAUCGGAGGGGGUAUCGGAAUUCAUGGUGUAGCAGUGAAAUGCGUAGAUAUCAUGAGGAACACCGGUGGCGAAAGCGGAUACCUGGAAGAUUCCUGACUCUGAAACACGAAAGCUAGGGGAGCAAACGGG